AACGAACGCUGGCGGCAGGCUUAACACAUGCAAGUCGACGGGUGUAGCAAUACAUCAGUGGCAGACGGGUGAGUAACACGUGGGAACAUUCCUAGGGGUACGGAACAACUCAGGGAAACUUGAGCUAAUACCGUAUACGUCCGUGAGGAGAAGGAUUUAUCGCCCUUAGACGGGCCCGCGUCGGAUUAGCUAGUUGGUGGGGUAACGGCCUCACAAGGCGACGAUCCGUAGCUGAUCUUAGAGGAUGAUCAGCCACACUGGGACUGAGACACGGCCCAGACUCCUACGGGAGGCAGCAGUGGGGAAUCUUGCGCAAUGGGGGAAAGCCUGACGCAGCCAUGCCGCGUGAAUGAUGAAGGUCUUAGGAUUGUAAAAUUCUUUCACCGGGGACGAUAAUGACGGUACCCGGAGAAGAAGCCCCGGCUAACUUCGUGCCAGCCGCCGCCGUAA
rnacentral:rRNA from 1 species